rnacentral:rRNA from 1 species
UACGUAGGGGGCAAGCGUUGUCCGGAUUUAUUGGGCGUAAAGAGCGUGUAGGCGGCCAUACAGGUCCGUUGUGAAAACUGGAGGCUCAACCUCCAGACGUCGACGGAAACCGUAUGGCUAGAGUCCGGAAGAGGAGAGUGGAAUUCCUGGUGUAGCGGUGAAAUGCGCAGAUAUCAGGAGGAACACCAGUGGCGAAGGCGACUACCUGGCCUGUUCUUGACGCUGAGGCGCGAAAGCUAGGGGAGCAAACGGG